rnacentral:rRNA from 1 species
UAUCGCGACGAGUUUGACUCCGUGGCUCAGGACAACGCUGGCGGCGUGCCUAACACAUGCAAGUCAACGGGGUAAAGACUUCGGUUUUUACUUAGUGGCGAACGGGUGAGUAACGCGUGAGAAACCUGCCCUUCAGUGGGGGACAACAGUUGGAAACGACUGCUAAUACCGCAUAAUGUUAUUUGGGGGCAUCCCUGAAUAACCAAAGAUUUAUUGCUGAAAGAUGGCUUCGCGUCUGAUUAGCUAGAUGGCGGGGUAACGGCCCACCAUGGCGACGAUCAGUAGCCGGUCUGAGAGGAUGAACGGCCACAUUGGGACUGAGAUACGGCCCAGACUCCUACGGGAGGCAGCAGUGGGGAAUAUUGGGCAAUGGGCGAAAGCCUGACCCAGCAACGCCGCGUGAAGGAAGAAGGCCCUCGGGUUGUAAACUUCUUUUAGUAGGGACGAAGAACGUGACGGUACCUACAGAAAAAGCAACGGCUAACUACGUG